AGCAAACAAUAGGGCAAAACAACAACUAGAGCCAGGGCCAGAAUCCACACGGAUCUGGAAAUCGGGUUAAAUGUGCAAGACCAGGGAGCGCUUUCUGCAUUGCUCUCUCCCCAUCCUCCGCAGCUCUUCAGCUCUGCCCCGCGGGUAUUUCGUCUGGGUUAUUCUGUGUACCGUGAUGCAUGAUAAUGCGUCGGUGCGGUAAUACGUCCCAGUGCCUACUUGAUAUUCCGCUGCCUUUGCUCCCAGUCCUUCCUCAGCUAUUUGCUUGGCAGGUAUUUUCUCGCAGUCUUUCCGAGAACUGUGACCGAGUCCAGUGGAUCCAUUUUUCCUCUAUGGUCGGUGCUUCCUGUGGUCUGCGGAGGGGACUUCCCUUUCUCCGCUGAAUCGCCUUCGUGGCAUCUGUGUGCACGUCCUUGGGAACGCCAUGCUGACCUCCUCACCUUGGCGAGGCUGUGGCGGCCUGGCUUCCCUCCCCGAGCCACGGGCCGCGCUGUCGGACGGAGGCAGGCUCUGAGGGUCCUGGGGUUACCUUCCUGACUGCUGCCCGUGGGCGACGGCGUUCCUUACCUUGUGCCCCGUGUUCUGCUUGUCUGGAAGGAGCCGGGAUUCAUCUUGUACCCACAGUACUGGCACACCGGCGCUCCGAAACGCUCGUUGCGUAGGCGAGUCUUUGUGAGCGCCUCCGGGUGCGACCCGCGGUCGUCUCUGUGGAUUGGGAGGCUCUGUGGGGCCCCAGAGGCCCACCCUUCCCUCCAUUUUACUGACAGGUGUCUCCCCGAGGACGGUCAUUAGUCCUGACGUCCUCCGCACAGCCCCGCUGGGCUCAGCACAUGCUUAUCAGGUGGGGACACUGAGGGCCAGAGAAGGCAGGGUCCCAUGACCAGCGAGCUGCGGAACAGGCAGAAUUGGGCAUCCUGUGUGGGGAUCUCGCUGCUGUACUAACUGGAGGGCAGGCACUGCCUCUUCAGCACUGGGUCACCCCCAGCUCCCCAACACACUCCCCACAAUGUGCACUGGAGGCUCCUAAUCUGCUUGUUAAAGAAAUGAAAUAUAUUUUUUUAA